rnacentral:rRNA from 1 species
AGAACGAACGCUGGCGGCAGGCUUAACACAUGCAAGUCGAACGAAUGCAGCAAUGCAUUAGUGGCGCACGGGUGAGUAACGCGUGGAUAUCUGCCUUUUGGUUCGGGAUAACCUUGGGAAACUAGGGCUAAUACCGAAUGGUUCCUACGGGAUAAAGAUUUAUCGCCAAAAGAUGAGUCCGCGUACGAUUAGCUAGUUGGUGAGGUAAUGGCUCACCAAGGCGACGAUCGUUAGCUGGUCUGAGAGGACGAUCAGCCACACUGGGACUGAGACACGGCCCAGACUCCUACGGGAGGCAGCAGUGGGGAAUAUUGGACAAUGGGGGCAACCCUGAUCCAGCCAUGCCGCGUGAGUGAUGAAGGCCUUCGGGUGUAAGCUCUUUUGGCGGGACGAUGAUGACGGUACCGCAGAAUAACGCCCGGCUAACUUCGUGCCAGCAGCCGC